ACACUUUUCAUUAUUUGAGAGUCGACGACUGUGGUUGGAACUUCUCACUUUACAUGUCAUUCAAAGGUACGGCUUCCAUUUUGAACAGUUGUUCAAAGGAACUUAAAAUAAAGCUUAUUGUGGACCUACAUUGAAGCCUCAAGUUUUCAUAUAUCUUUUUUAGGCAGAGUUUUUUCAGGUAGUUUCACCGAAAAACACGACAGCUUAUCAGUGUGUAGAAUUUGAGAUAUCUUUUACAGGUAUAGUUCAGGCACAAACCACGACAGCUUAUUGUAGAAUACUACCUAUAUACACUGGAGUCUGGACCAUGUUUGACAAUUUCACUAUAUUUAUUUUCAGAGCCUAACAAAUUAUCGAGCAUAAACUAUUCUUAUUCCAACGAAAGUGCACGUUCAGAAUGAAGAACCACUUCAACGCCCUGUAUUUGUUAAUCAUCGCCACAUGCUACAUAAGCUACACCGAAGCAGCCCAAUGCUAUGCUUUUACCGGGCCAAAUGGAGCUAGACAAUGUGUCAAGCUGCAGGGGUACAACGGCUACCAAUGGGCUACUUGUCGCACAAACUCGUACUUGGUACAAAUGUCGAACGGCAGGCACCACUGUAGCAUCAAGUCGCAUACAUAUUGCCUCUACCAGUGUAUGUUGGAUAAGUAUGAAAAAAGCAGUGGCGAUGUUUAUGGCAGCUGCCAGUGUUCUGGAUCGCAAAAGGCGACACACACGUUUGCAUAUGUUGUUCUUUUGGCCGCAGUCAGCUCUUUGUUGGUAUUAUAAAUCACUAGAAAAUGACUUUUAAAGAGGACUUUUACUAACCAAAUAAUUUUUGGCAUGUUGUUUAUACUAUAAACUAUCUUUUAGAGAGGACUUUUACUAACCAAGUAACUUUCCAUAUGUCCUGUAGUGUUGUCACAAUAAUUUUGGUGCACACUAUUAUAUAUUUUUUUUACUUUAGUACUUUAGUAUUGAGUUAGCAUUGGGGUUAUGCUUAUGAUCAAUCAGUGGUAUGAUUAAGAUUGGGUUAUAACUGGGUUAUGAUCAGGGUAAAGGUUGGAAUAAGUAAUCACUAGUAUACAAUUAAUCGAUAAUCAUGUUUUAUAUCAUAAUCGAAAAUGUAAUUCGCACAUGUAAUAGAGUAAAACACUUCAAUAAAAAGCUGGUGUAUACAGUCAGCAAAACUGUCUCUGCAUGUGUUAUGUUAACCAUUGGUGAACAGAUUCGCUAUUACAGUGGUGUUAUUUUUUUCAUAACUGUGAUCGC
rnacentral:lncRNA from 1 species